rnacentral:snoRNA from 1 species
GCCGAGACUAGAGUCACAUCUGGACACUGCUUGUUGCCCUGGUGUGCUAGAGUACUCGGACAGUAACCACUAAUCUAUAUUCACUGGCUGUGGCCAUUCUUGACUCAGUCAGUCACCAGGUUAGUGACAGGA